AUUGAACGCUGGCGGCAGGCCUAACACAUGCAAGUCGAGCGAGCGGCGGACGGGUGAGUAAUGUAUGGGGACUGCCCGAUAGAGGGGGAUCACUACUGGAAACGGUAGCUAAUAACGCAUACUAUCGGAUAACCCAUAUGGGAUUAGCUAGUGGUGGAGGUAAUGGCUCACCUAGGCGACGAUCCCUAGCUGGCCUGAGAGGAUGAUCAGCCACCCUGGGACUGAGCCACGGCCCAGACUCCUACGGAGGCAGCAGUGGGGAAUAUUGCACAAUGGGCGAAAGCCUGAUGCAGCCAUGCCGCGUGAAUGAAGAAGGCCCUAGGAUUGUAAAGUACUUUCAGUCGGGAGGCGUUACCGACAGAAGAAGCAACGGCUAACUCCGUGCCAGCAGCCGCGGUAAUUC
rnacentral:rRNA from 1 species